rnacentral:rRNA from 1 species
GCAAGGUUACCCGCCGAAUUUAAGCAUAUUAUUAAGCGGAGGAAAAGAAACUAACAAGGAUUCCCUCAGUAACGGCGAGUGAAGCGGGAACAGCCUCGCGUGUGAAUCGUCGUGUGGCGAUCGAAGUGAAAUUCGACAGCAACGGCGAGUUGUGCACGAUGAUCUGGCGUCUGGGUGUCCGGGGGCUCGGUUGUCGCCACCGAAAUCGUCCGAGUGCCGGGUGCAUAACCCGGCGGUCGUCGGCGUUACGCCGUGCACAGUAAAAUGUGAAAUGUUGGUGGUUCGAGCCAAGUUCGUCACCGAAGUGACCCCACAGAAGGUUUCAGGCCUGUGUUGUUGUUUUGAAUCGAACCGCCAUCAAACCGAGCUCCCUUCGCAGGCGUUCGCUCCCUUGGGGGUGGUGUGUCAGAUUGAGAGUCGGGUUGCUUGGGAUUGCAGCCCUAAGAA